GACGAACGCUGGCGGCGUGCCUAAUACAUGCAAGUAGGACGCAGUUGCGAACGGGUGAGUAACGCGUCGGUCACUACCUAGGAGAGGGGGAUAACAAUUGGAACCGAUAGCUAAUACCGCAUACUAGUAGAUGGACCUGCGUUGUAUUAGCUAGUAGGUAGGGUAAUGGGCUACCUAGCCAACGGUACAUAGCCUGGCUUGGAGGGAGGUCGGCCAACACUGGAAUGGGAAACGGCCCAGACUCCCUCGGGAGGCAGCAGUAGGGGAUCUUCGGAAAUGGGGGGAACGCUGACCGCGCAACGCCGCGGGGGUGAAGGAGGUUUUCGGGUCGUAAAGCUCUGUUGUUAAGGAAGCGGUACUUAACCAGAAAGGGCCGGCUAACUACGUGCCAGCAGCCGCGGUAAUAC
rnacentral:rRNA from 1 species